rnacentral:lncRNA from 1 species
AUGAUGGCCUCGCCUUCAUCAAAGCAACAUCUAUUCCUAUCUCAAAAUCAAAAUAAGGGUUAUAAUUUCAAUUUGCUUCUCUCUGAAAUCUUAACCUUUUCAUCUAACUAUCUUUAUUCGCUGUUGUCGAUGGUUCUAAAGGCUCCGCUGACGGAAUUCAAGGUUGGCCUUACCUUAGAAAAAGUUGGGAAUGAAGUUAUGAGCACUGCUGCCAAGCUUGAAGAUGAUAAAUGUUCUCAAAAGAUUCAUUCUGGUAGCAGUAACGUUUAA